GUUUCACAAAUCUUUCUUAUCUUGGUGACAAACUCAAUCUCUUCCGCUUCUUUACUUUCAUUUUCAUAAAUAAUAAAGCUCAUUUGAGCUAUUUAUCUUUUGUGUUAAUAAGCUCUUAUGAGCAAAACUACUAUGGGUUUGAAGCUGCUCACACAUUAGAGUUCUUAUUCGCUUCUUCUCCCUCUCCGGAUUUCUCUUCUCUCUGUUUCCCCAACAUCCAAAUCCGGUCAAAUAUUAUUUGGUGAACAUUCAAUUGGUAGAUUUGCUGAAUCGUUCUUCCGUACAUCUUCUCAGGAUCCAUCCAUCGAUCUUUCCACCCAGAAUCUCUGAAUCGUUUUCAACAUAAUCGUUUGUAAACCAUUUGUCUGGUUCAAUCUAUCCCCAAUUCUAAAAGUAAUGUGUGGGAGGAGAUGAGUGAAUUGCAUCUUAUUUGUUGGCCAACGAAUCCGCCUGUAGGUUUCUUUUCCUCUCUUCUCAGAUUAUUUAUUGAUUCCAGAUUUAUUUUGUCUCUGAUUUUGGUACCUUCUCCCAGUUUUUGUAUUGCAGUCUACUCUAUUUUCAUUGUUUCGUAUUUAUUUUCUUAAGUCUGUUUUA